UUAUGUCUCUGUAGAUCACGAAGCAGACGCCUUGAACUCAGAUACAUUAUGGCAGUUGAGUCAGCUCUGGCACCUGCCAAAGAACCGAUUAUUAUUUGAAUUGUCCAAAUGGGCAUAUUGGGAGAUAUGAGAGGAAACUGUUACAACACCUCUGUCUGUUUUAUGUGACUGGUUUGGUCAAUGGUUGGACAAAGGAUACACUAUUUUUCAAAAGUCAUUCAAGUUAUGCCCACCGGAUAACUGACAAACUCUUGGGAGGUAAGUCUCUUUUUAUUUAGCUGUAGACCAAAGAUGCCAAAGAUGUCCAUGCAAAUUGGCAAAAUGUCAAACCACCACUCCAAACUUGUAAGGGGGAAGUGACUGUACCACUCCCCACUCCCCAUGUUAUUAUUUUUUAUUACAUCUAUAUUAGUCUCUUCCUUCAUGCUCUACAGCUGAAAUGUCAUUUUUUUUAUUCUGAUGAUAUCAUAUUUGGCUUUGCUAACUGUUCUGUUAUUGUUUUUCUGUUCCUUAGGCACACACAAAAUUGCCAGAUGAAGUUUCUCCAAGCACUACUUUGAUCAAGUUAUUUCUCUGCUGAAGAACUUUCAGUGGUACUUGUCUAUGGAGUUACGUGGGAGCUCCAAGCAGCCGGGUGUCCUGCCUCAAUUGAUCUGUGAUGAUGAUAAUCCCCCUUUCAAAAGCAAAUGGCAUGUGAGAAGAUACAAUAAAACUUGGACAUUGCAAGGCACUUUGGACCAGCAAAAUCCAACAUGGAUCAAAGAUUCAAAUGCAAAUAAACCUUGGGCAUGAGUUA